GAUGAACGCUGGCGGCGUGCCUAAUACAUGCAAGUCGAGCGAACAGACGAGCUUCUGCCUCGCUGCGAGUAGCGGACGGGUGGGUAAUAAACCGGAGCGUACCCACCAUUAAGGGAUGGCUAAGCUAAGGCAACCGGAAUACAGCACAGGAUACGAGGUUGAAAGCGUGGGUUCACCGGACAACGCGGUAUUGGAGCGGCCUAUGGAAGGGUUCCUCGCCGCAUUAGCUAGUUGGUACGGUAACGGCUUACCAAGGCAACGAUGCGUAGCCGACCUGAGAGGGUAAUCAGCCACACUGGAACUGAGACACGGUCCAGACUCCUACGGGAGGCAGCAGUAGGGAAUCUUCCGCAAUGGGCGAAAGCCUGACGCAGCAACGCCGCGUGAGUGAUGAAGGUCUUCGGAUCGUAAAACUCUGUUAUUAGGGAAGAACAAAUGUGUAAGUAACUAUGCACUUCUUGACGGUACCUGAACAGAAAGCCACGGCUAACUACGUG
rnacentral:rRNA from 1 species